rnacentral:tRNA from 1 species
CAUUAUUCAGACAUCACAGAGUGUAGUGAUGUAAACCUAGAUGGUAGAGCCUUCUACACACCUAGGCUACACUAUACAGCCUAUUGUGCUCCUAGGCUGCAAACCUGUACAGCUACAGCAUGGUACUGUACUGAAUGCUGGAGGCAAUUGUACACAAUUGUAAGCAUUUGUGUACCUAAAAGAGACCGAGAUACCUAAAUACCAAAACUAGUGACGCUGUGAGCAGGAUUCGAACCUGCGCGGGGAGACCCCAUUGGAUUUCGAGUCCAACGCCUUAACCACUCGGCCAUCACAGCCGCGUGCGCUGUCGGCCCUGUGCAACUAUAGCUGCCUAUCAACACGCCCGCCUCCAGCCGGCUCCGCCCGGCUCCGCCCGGCUCCACCCGCGCCGCCUAGAGACGUCUGCGCUCGUGCGCCUCUGCUCGGUGGCGCAGACCAUGCCUUCCCUCCAGCAGACGUCAGCAGCCCCAUUGGAGCGGCAGCCUUCCUAUUCUCCCUCUCCUCCCUGAGCAUAGGAUGGAAACAAAACGGGUCCAAAUCCGA